rnacentral:rRNA from 1 species
UACGGAGGGUGCAAGCGUUAUCCGGAUUCACUGGGUUUAAAGGGUGCGUAGGUGGGCAGGUAAGUCAGUGGUGAAAUCUCUGGGCUUAACUCAGAAACUGCCAUUGAUACUAUCUGUCUUGAAUACCGUGGAGGUCAGCGGAAUAUGUCAUGUAGCGGUGAAAUGCUUAGAUAUGACAUAGAACACCAAUUGCGAAGGCAGCUCGUUACACGAAGAUUGACUCUGAGGCACGAAAGCGUGGGGAUCAAACAGG